rnacentral:lncRNA from 1 species
GCCUCAGUCUUUCGCCGUGUCUCGCCGUCCCUCGCCAUCGCACGCCAUCGCACGCCACCGCACCCCUUCUCUCGAAAUCUGUAGACAUCUUGAUUUUUCCCACGCUGUCUGUCAGGUCUCCGCCGCCACUCGACGCCAGGGCGCCGGGCCUUGUGGGUUGUGCUGCUCCUCGGACGGCUUCGCACCAGCCAGCGCCCCCUCUCUCCUGCAGCACUCUGAUCUGCACCCCCUGAGGGGCUUCCACUGUCCGCGGGGUGAGAAUGCCCCUGGGAGUGUCACAUGACUGUCACCCCAUGUGUGUGAGAGGUGUCCUCUGGGAGAGCAUGGACCCUGAGGUCCCAGGAUUGUCAGCUGACCUCUGUCCUGUGUGCCCAGUGGCCCCAGGUGACGUGUCUUCAAGAAGAGGCUGAGCUGUGGUGCUUGUAAGAGUCAUGUGCAUGACUCCUGGGGCUUGGAUGAUGUAGGGGAAGCAAGGUGAAAGUGGUAUCCCGUGGUUCCACGUUCUGUCCUGCCGUGGAGCUGUCCCUCACAUGCCUUCAGUGGCUGUUGCGGAGGAAGAGCCUCCGGAAAUCUGCGUGGGUCUCAGCCUUAGAUCCAAGGACAGUCCAAGGAAGUCCUAAGACCGUGGAGUUGGUGACCUGGGAUCUGGGUUUGCUGGUAUUUCUCACCAUGAAUCUCUUGGUGGUGUUUGUGGGCACCAGAGGGGCAGAGAAUAGAGAGUGAGGCUACCACAUGAAGCGUCACCAGAGCUGCUCCCUGCUGCCUGCUCAGAGCACCCUGGAUCCACUGUUCAAUCUGCACAAGAUUCGGGGUCCAGACAUGGGAGACUUCAGCUGCCUCGGAGGACCGUGGACAGGGAAGGCCAGCCUCGCAUCCCUCUGUCCAUGCCUGGAAUGACUUAACCAAGAGUUUUAUUCUUGAAUUUGUAGCUGUUGUUCACUUUUUACCCACCCAUUCAAUAAACCUUACAGAAUUGCUCCA